UACGUAGGGUGCAAGCGUUGUCCGGAAUUAUUGGGCGUAAAGAGCUCGUAGGCGGUCUGUCGCGUCUGUUGUGAAAACUCGGGGCUUAACCCCGGGCCUGCAGUGGGUACGGGCAGACUAGAGUGCGGUAGGGGAGACUGGAAUUCCUGGUGUAGAGGUGAAAUUCGUAGAUAUCGGGAGGAACACCAGUGGCGAAGGCGGAGACCUGGGCCAAUACUGACGCUGAGGUGCGAAAGCGUGGGGAGCAAACAGG
rnacentral:rRNA from 1 species